rnacentral:rRNA from 1 species
ACACAUGCAAGUCGAACGAGAGAGAAGGAGCUCGCUUCUUCGAUCGAGUGGCGAACGGGUGAGUAACGCGUGAGGAACCUGCCUCAAAGAGGGGGACAACAGUUGGAAACGACUGCUAAUACCGCAUAAGCCCACGGGUCGGCAUCGACCUGAGGGAAAAGGAGUGAUCCGCUUUGAGAUGGCCUUGCGUCCGAUUAGCUAGUUGGUGAGGUAAUGGCCCACCGAGGCGACGAUCGGUAGCCGGACUGAGAGGUUGAACGGCCACAUUGGGACUGAGACACGGCCCAGACUCCUACGGGAGGCAGCAGUGGGGAAUAUUGCACAAUGGGGGAAACCCUGAUGCAGCGACGCCGCGUGGAGGAAGAAGGUCUUCGGAUUGUAAACUCCUGUUGUUGAGGAAGAUAAUGACGGUACUCAACAAGGAAGUGACGGCUAACUACGUGCCAGCAGCCGCGGUAAAACGUAGGUCACAAGCGUUGUCCGGAAUUACUGGGUGUAAAGGGAGCGCGGGCGGGAAGACAAGUUGGAAGUGAAAUCUAUGGGCUCAACCCAUAAACUGCUUUCAAAACUGUUUUUCUUGAGUAGUGCAGAGGUAGGCGGAAUUCCCGGUGUAGCGGUGGAAUGCGUAGAUAUCGGGAGGAACACCAGUGGCGAAGGCGGCCUACUGGGCACCAACUGACGCUGAGGCUCGAAAGUGUGGGUAGCAAACAGGAUUAGAUACCCUGGUAGUCCACACCGUAAACGAUGAUUACUAGGUGUUGGAGGAUUGACCCCUUCAGUGCCGCAGUUAACACAAUAAGUAAUCCACCUGGGGAGUACGACCGCAAGGUUGAAACUCAAAGGAAUUGACGGGGGCCCGCACAAGCAGUGGAGUAUGUGGUUUAAUUCGACGCAACGCGAAGAACC